rnacentral:rRNA from 1 species
AUUGAACGCUGGCGGCAUGCUUUACACAUGCAAGUCGAACGGUAACAGGCCGCAAGGUGCUGACGAGUGGCGAACGGGUGAGUAAUGCAUCGGAACGUGCCCAGUCGUGGGGGAUAACUACUCGAAGGAGUAGCUAAUACCGCAUACGAUCUAUGGAUGAAAGCGGGGGACCGUAAGGCCUCGCGCGAUUGGAGCGGCCGAUGUCAGAUUAGGUAGUUGGUGGGGUAAAGGCUCACCAAGCCAACGAUCUGUAGCUGGUCUGAGAGGACGACCAGCCACACUGGGACUGAAACACGGCCCAGACUCCUACGGGAGGCAGCAGUGGGGAAUUUUGGACAAUGGGCGCAAGCCUGAUCCAGCAAUGCCGCGUGCAGGAAGAAGGCCUUCGGGUUGUAAACUGCUUUUGUACGGAACGAAACGGCUCUGGUUAAUACCCGGGGCUAAUGACGGUACCGUAAGAAUAAGCACCGGCUAACUACGUG